GGUGAUGGGCCUCUCUGGUAUUUUAGAGAGGCUAAACCACGUCCCCCGUCCAAAGUCGGG
rnacentral:ribozyme from 1 species